AGAGUUUGAUCCUGGCUCAGAAAGAACGCUGGCGGCAUGCCUAACACAUGCAAGUUGAACGGAUAAAAUUUUUGGCUUGCCAAGAAUUUUAUUAGUGGCAAACGGGUGAGUAACACGUAGGAAUCUGCCCUGUAGUACGGAACAACAAUUGGAAACGAUUGCUAAUACCGUAUACGCUCGAAAGAGGAAGGAUUAAUCGCUAUAGGAUGAGCCUGCGGUAGAUUAGGUAGUUGGUGGGGUAAUGGCCUACCAAGCCUAUGAUCUAUAGCUGGUCUGAGAGGACGAUCAGCCACACUGGGACUGAGAUACGGCCCAGACUCCUACGGGAGGCAGCAGUGGGGAAUAUUGGACAAUGGGCGCAAGCCUGAUCCAGCAAUGUCGCGUGAAUGAUGAAGGCCUUAGGGUUGUAAAGUUCUUUCGGCGGGGAAGAAAUUGACGGUACCCGCAGAAGAAGCUCCGGCUAACUCCGUGCCAGCAGCCGCGGUGAUACGGGGGGAGCUAGCGUUUUUCGGAAUUACUGGGCGUAAAGGGCGCGUAGGCGGCCAAUAAAGUUGAAAGUGAAAGCCCCGGGCUUAACCUGGGAACUGCUUUCAAAACUCAUUGGCUAGAGGAUGAUAGAGGACAGUAGAAUUCCUAGUGUAGAGGUGAAAUUCUUAGAUAUUAGGAAGAAUACCAGAGGCGAAGGCGACUGUCUGGGUCAUAUCUGACGCUGAGGCGCGAAAGCGUGGGGAGCAAACAGCAUUAGAUACCCUGGUAGUCCACGCUGUAAACGAUGAAUGUUAGGCGUCGGGGUCUUAGACUUCGGUGUCGUAGCUAACGCGUUAAACAUUCCGCCUGGGAAGUAAGAUCGCAAGAUUAAAACUCAAAGGAAUUGACGGGGACCUGCACAAGUGGUGGAACAUGCGGUUUAAUUCGAUGUUACGCGAAAAACCUUACCAAUCCUUGACAUAGUGAUCGCGGAAUUCAGAAAUGGAUUCCUUCGGUUCGGCCGGAUCACAUACAGGUGUUGCAUGGCUGUCGUCAGCUCGUGUUGUGAGAUGUUAGGUUAAGUCCUGCAACGAGCGCAACCCCUAUCCUUAUUUGCCAGCGGGUAAUGCCGGGAACUAUAAGGAAACUGCCAGUUAUAAACUGGAGGAAGGUGGGGAUGAAGUCAGGUCAGCAUGGCCCUUAAGGGUUGGGCGACACGCGUGUUACAAUGGUAGAGACAAAGGGACGCCAAGGAGCGAUCCGGAGCAAAUCUCAAAAACUCUACCUCAGUUCGGAUUGCACUCUGCAACUCGGGUGCAUGAAGUUGGAAUCACUAGUAAUCGUAGAUCAGCACGCUACGGUGAAUACGUUCACAGGUCUUGUACACACUGCCCGUCAAGCCAUGGGAGUUGACCUUAUCUGAAAUCGGUAAGCUAACCCGCAAGGCAGGCUGCCGCUUAUGGUGGGGUUAAUGACUGGGGUUAAGUCGAAACAAGGUAACUGUAGGAGAACCUGCGGUUG
rnacentral:rRNA from 1 species